UACGGAGGGGGCUAGCGUUGUUCGGAAUUACUGGGCGUAAAGCGCACGUAGGCGGCUUUGUAAGUUAGAGGUGAAAGCCCAGGGCUUAACCCUGGAAUUGCCUUUAAGACUGCAUCGCUAGAAUCGUGGAGAGGUAAGUGGAAUUCCGAGUGUAGAGGUGAAAUUCGUAGAUAUUCGGAAGAACACCAGUGGCGAAGGCGGUUAGCUGGGCAGUUGCUGACACUGAGGCGCGGACAGCGUGGGGAGCAAACAGG
rnacentral:rRNA from 1 species